UACGGAGGGUGCGAGCGUUAAUCGGAAUUACUGGGCGUAAAGCGUGCGUAGGCGGCCAUUUAAGUCGGAUGUGAAAUCCCCGAGCUUAACUUGGGAAUUGCAUUCGAUACUGGGAGGCUGGAGUAUGGGAGAGGAUGGUAGAAUUCCAGGUGUAGCGGUGAAAUGCGUAGAGAUGUGGAGGAAUACCAAUGGCGAAGGCAGCCAUCUGGCCUAAUACUGACGCUGAGGUACGAAAGCAUGGGGAGCAAACAGG
rnacentral:misc_RNA from 1 species